UUCAACGUGUCUGAGAACAGCUGAGCGCCACUGUGGCCCCUCUGAGACUGUGCCAUGGCUGCCAAUUUGUCCUGCAUUUUCCCAGCACUGCAUCUUUUUGGGGUCUUGGUGCUAUUGCUGUGCCCUUCCUGCUUGUGUGACUGCAACAUGUUUCCUAGCAUUGCCCAUGGAUCCUAUGAAGAUGUGAGUUCAAUUUUUUCCUUUACUACUGUGGUGCAGUAUAAAUGUGAUGAAGGAUAUGUUCUGGUUGGAGAAGAAAAAAUCACCUGCAGAAAUUCACAUUGGUCAUCUCUAGUUCCUCAGUGUAAAGCUCUGUGUCUGAAACCAGAGAUAAAAGAUGGAACUGUGUCUCUGGACCAGGAUCAGUAUGUUGAGCCUGAAAAUGUCACUGUCCAGUGUGACUCUGGCUAUAGGGUGGUCGGCUCUCCGAGUAUCAUCUGCUCAGAGAACAGAACCUGGUACCCAGAAGUGCCCAAGUGUGAGUGGAUAUUUUCAGGUGACAUCUGAGAUUUUUGAGCUUCGGUUGGUGCACGAUUGGUUGUCAACACUUACCAUGAGGCCUUUGUCAGGGAGCAAGUCCCCAGUUCUGUACCUCUUUGGGAUUCUGACCGUGCUCCUCUGCCCCGCCAGCCUACAUGAAAGCAUUUACCACGAGUUUCCAUUUGGAAAGCAAAUUCUCUAGUUCUUUCAACGUAUUUAAAAUGUCCCCCUUUCAGCAGCAUACUUAUUGCAUCAAAGGAGGUAAGGCAUGGUUUUAGUUUUGAUGCUAGUUUUAUUUUAUUGGAGGGUAAUGACUACCUAUCCUCUAUGUAUUUGGGAGUGGGGGCUGUGAGGAAGCAGUGGAAAAUAGUGAGACCUGUUAAUUUUUCCAUGAGAUCAUUUUUCCCUUGACAUGCAAUUUGAUGCUUAACAAUUUUUCUGAAAGUCAAAAGGAAUACUAUGUUCUCUAAUUUUCACAGUGCUAUAAAUAGUCCCUGACAAAGCAUAAUUGUAUAAAAGAGAUGACACUUUUUUUUAUACAUCUUUAUUGGAGUAUAAUUGCUUUACAGUGUUGUGUUAGUUUCUGCUGUACAACAAAGUGAAUCAGCUAUAUGCGUACAUAUAUCCCCAUAUACCCUUCCUCUUGACAAAGCGUUUUAAUACUUUUAGGUUUAUUCUAUUAUUAUUACUAGAGAAAGACAAAACAGCUGUUUUGUAUGAAUUCCUCGGGGUCUGCUCUAGUAAACAGAUAAUGAAUUGUGGGGAUGAAAUGUACAGCAUGGGGAAUAUAGUCAACAAUAUUGUAAUAACCUUGUAUGGUGACAGAUGGUAACUAGAUUUAUCAUGGUGAGCAUUUUGUAAUGUAAAGAAAUAUGUUGUGCACCUGGACCUAACAUAAUGUUGAGGUCGAUUAUCCUUCAAUUAAAAAAAAGAGAAUGAAUUGCAAGUAACUUCACUUUCUUAUAUAUAAAUAUGAGCUCACAAAU